rnacentral:lncRNA from 1 species
GAUUUAUAAACCCUUUUCCAUAAUUUUAUACAAGUUUUAAUUCCAUGUUAUUUAUUCUAUUUGUUUUAUAAAGUGCAUGAAACUGGCCACUUUAUGUGCUUUUCUGUUAUUGCUAAUGGCAUAAAUCGGAAGAUCGGGUUACUAAUUAGAACUUGGGUAGAAGAGCCUUUGUAGUAUUAGCAUAGGAAUAUAGUUAAUAUCUUAGGUAGCUAUUAUUGAGAUUUGUGCUUCAUGAUGUGUUCUAGAUUUAAUUGCGUAGGAAUACAAUUAUUCAAUCUAGAGUAUUAGAAUCGUAAUAUACGCGGAAGCGGGUUAAAAUUAAUUUAGCAUCUCAUGUUAGUAAUCCGAUUUAAUAAUUUGCAUAAUUGAAGGAAUUGGGGAAUUAAUAAUCACAUAGGGGGAAAAAUAAAAUCCUAGGCUUGUUUAUAGAUUUUCAUUUUUAAUUGCUUUCGUGCUUUUGCUUGUUUAAAUUGUUUUAGUUUAAUUAAUCAACUUUCAACUGCAUAGGAUGGGGUUGAGCAUAAUUGGUAAAAUUUAGCGUAUAGGAUUAGAUAAUUUAAUAUUCUUUGCGGUAUCGAUAUGUGGACUUAAUUGUCCACUAUAUUACUUGUUCGAUACGUGCACUUGCGUGUGGGUAAAAUCAUCAACAAGUUUUUGGCGUCGUGCCGGGAACUAUUUUAAUUAGGGUUCAUUGGAUAUACACACCUCAUUUGGAAAAUAUAUAGGGAUAGGUCCAUCCCUAAAAAUCUUCCUUUGAGAUACCCCCAUGGAGAGGCAAAAAUACAAUUGUGCCCUUGAGUUCAAUUUUCGUCCAACUGCAUUAGUAAUUUCGCACUACAUUCAGCAUAGUGCCCAACUGCAUUUAGCAUUAUUUGGCCUGCAUUUAUCACCAAGAACAAAAUUCACAAUUUUAAUCUUGAUAUUAUAAAUCAACCAACCCAAAAAAAACUGAAAAAAACACAAUCACAUGCAUAUAAUCUUCAAAACAUGAACACGCAUUACUAUACAUUAAAAAACACAUAGCAUACAUAUAACUAUAUGUUAUUACAUAUGACUAUAUAUUGUUAUCUACAAUUAUCUAUAGUUAUAUAUAGUGGCAUAAGUCUGGAGUACUGUAGCAUGAAUGCAACUUCACAUGACACUUGUCUGCAUCUCAUAAUGUUAUACAAAGCAAAACAUGUGACAAAAAACGAAGAACAAAAUGGAACAAGCGAAUUACAUUACAUGGAAAAUACAAAAAAAAAACACAAUGAAAAACAUUUUUUUGAUAAAUUUACUUUGGUGAAUUAUAGUCACAAGUAGUUGUGCAUUAUGGUUAUUGCAUAUGACUAUAUAUGACUAUAAGUAGUCAAUAUAGUCAUAUGUAGUUAUGUUCAUUCUUGUUACUACAUGUGACUAUAUAUGACUACACGUACAUGACCACAUGUGACUAUAUAUGUAUAUAAAUAAAAUGCAUCUACACCACCAAAAAGUUCACAAUUGAAUCUAUAUAAGAUGAUGAAUAGCACAAUGUGGUUGAAAAAAAAUAUAUAUUUACUCUAGUGAAAUUAUAUCACAUAAAUCAUUUGAUUACAAAAAAAAAAAAAAAAAAUAAAAAAUUGUAGGUAUGUAUAUGGAGAGUAGAAUUUUAAUUACAAAAAAAAAAAAAAAAAAAAAAAACAAAGCAGAAUCUUAUAUAUAACUAUAAAUAACAAAUUAUAUUACAAAUAUCGAUUGAAAAUAAACAGUCACGUGCAUAUGUUACUAUCCGUUACUACAUAUAAAUAUGGUCAUGCAUAAUAAUGUUAAUAGUAUAAUCAUUUCUACAUAUAAAAAAUUAUCCAUUAUUCCUUUCCGAAAUUUUUAGUCAUCAAUCCAUCAAAACUGAUCCUCUUUCUGAGAUUAAAAGCGCUCACUUAAACCGUACUUACAUUCCUAAUCAUAAACCCAUACAUAAUAACAUUUUUAUAACAAAUAAAACAACUUAACAUACUUCCUUCACUGCUGCUAUUUGAAUCAAAAAACACAUAAAAUCCAUUCUCAAUUCCCAAAGAGGAGAAAAAAAGUCAAACUAAAUCGGGUAAUAUCAAGUUGGUUUAGGCCUACAGACUUGUAUGUUUCAAUAAUAAUGGGAUUCAUUGGGGAAAAGUCAGUUUCAUACUGUCACCCAGUCAAUUUUAACACACAUAACACUCAACACUAACUUACACACACAAACAAACAAAUCGAUCAAACACGAAAUUGAUUAAAAAAUCUUGCCAAUUGAAACAACGUAUUAAUUGAGUCGAAUAAUCAGAGUCUAAUAAAAACUCACACAAACAAAUAAAAAAAAAUAUCGGACAUCCACACUCGAAGAAAUUCAUUCAGAAGAAGUGGAACUGAAAGUUCAACGAAAACAUUCCAUCUAACAGAAAAUAAAAAUGGGGGUUUAAGGUUAAAUAAAUUACCUGUGAAAAGGACAUGGGAGCCGCAGGGCCUGCAGUAAUAGAAGAAGAGAUCGGAGUCGGGACCUUCGGCAAAACGUCCUUGCUCGACGAUUUGAUGUUGGCGAGGACGUCGGCGACGGUGGUGGACGAGGAGAGGGAGCGGAGCGGUGGAGAGCGUCGACAACGGUGGUGCACGAAGAGAGGGAGAGAAGUUGCGGAGGGCGUCAUCGACGGUGGUGGAAGAAGAGAAGGGGCGGAGCGCGGCGUUUUGCCCGGGAAGAGAGAAGACAUGAAGAUGCCGGAUCUAGAUCUGGCUAGAGAGAGGAAAGAUGUAACGUGGUGUGAGGCGUGUGAGUGGAAGAGAGGGAUUAGGCCAAAACCGUCACUUCAAGUUAUCCAGGGUUUUGAUCAAAAAUAUGAAAAAAGGAAGGGA